rnacentral:rRNA from 1 species
UACAGAGGGCUCAAGCGUUGUUCGGAUUCAUUGGGCGUAAAGGGUGCGUAGGUGGCGCCGUAAGUCGGGUGUGAAAUUUCGGAGCUUAACUCCGAGACUGCAUUCGAUACUGCGGUGCUUGAGGACUGGAGAGGAGACUGGAAUUCAUGGUGUAGCAGUGAAAUGCGUAGAGAUCAUGAGGAAGACCAGUGGCGAAGGCGGGUCUCUGGACAGUUCCUGACACUGAGGCACGAAGGCCAGGGGAGCAAACAGG